CACAAAGGCACAGGCUUGUCUUGUUUUCACAGCGUUUUCUUCCUCAUUUACCACCCCCUGGACCUCUAUACUGUGCCUUCACGGGGAAGGGAACCCAAGGCUUGGUGAGGAAGAACAGCUGCCAGAGGCCACCGGGUCUAAUCCAACUCCAGCCAGAGCCGUAGGGGUCCACUUACGCCCCAGACUGAACAUGGAAGGAGCCCACUUCCGUGCCGUCCCAGCCCAUGGCCUGCAGAGAGGGAUAGUCAUCGCUCAGCUCGCCUUUCCUGCCGAGGAAGUUCUCCUGCUCGAAGAUGGUCAGCCUCGAGUCACGGUGGUUCUACAGACAACAGAGAGCUGGGUCAGACCGCCAGGUGCCGGAUGGGACACACAGGAGCCACUGCCCCUUGCUCAGCCUUUGUCUCCCAAGUCAGCCUUCUAUCCAGAGCUCUGAGAAGGGCAGCAGGCGACGGGAAGCUUUACAAGAUGCUUCAGCAUCUGUCUUCCACAAGGACAGAACAAAAACUACAAGGAUAUCCACCAUAACUGUGAAAAAUAAAGGAACUGAGCUAAAUGUCCCAUAGCAGGAGACCAGGCACGAAGACAGGGUGUUGUGCUAUAAAAACCAUGUGAAUAUC